UUCGAAGUGGUCACGCUCAGUACUCUUGUUCUCAACGAAUAUCUGUACUCUCGCUCCGAUGUCUCCACACCGUAGACUCAAGACUCAUCUACCCUAAGAAAGCGAUCGUACACCAACCUUCCGGAUCAAUCACCAUCUUCGUGAUGAUCCUAUGGUCAGGAGCAGUUUAUGAGUUAGUUAUGUAAAUUCAUGCCUUAAAUUUUCAACUCUUGAAAAUAUGAAUUAACAUUCCCACUAACUCAAAAGAUGUAUCACAAAUACUAUGUACAUAAUGUGAUAGAAGAAUAACCCUUUUAUUCAUUUAUAGUCAAAAUUAUAAUUUUGCACUUAAAUUUGUACAGAAAUGUGUCAGCCGAUCUGGCAUCUAGGGCACACAUCUAACAUUGCCUCAUGAAAGUUAUGAGUUUUGUUUAAGAGCCUUUGGAUCUACUUGACUCUUUUCUAUUAUUUGCCUUUGCCUCAGUUUGGACUUGAGCUUUGCCUCAGCUUUGAUUUAUUUUUGGAUUGAUCUGGUUUUAACUUCGGCUUGAUCUUGAUCUAGCUUUGAUCGAUCUUGAUCAAACUUCGAAUCAACCUUGAUUUGGCUUUGAAUCAGCCCUAAUCCGACUUUAGAUUGGCUUUGAUUUUGAGUUUCCAACUAGCUUGGAUCUGGGCUUCUGAUUGGGCCUUAGAUCGCUUAAUUUUUCACUUAAGUUUGAAUGGACAUAAAUGAGACUGGCCCCAAGUGAUUCAUGGGUGAGAGAAGGCUCUGUUGCUGCUGAAAUCCAAUUCAUCGGUGUUGUGGGCCUUGGAUCCAUCCACAGGCGAAAGGGCAAAGAAGCUUCAGAUCCACCCGCGAACAACCUCGGCACCCCGGAUCCGGGCAUGGUCGGUGUCAUCGACGGGCAGAAUGGUCUCAGAGGCCUGGAUUUGAGCGAGAUUAGUGCCGCUAGAUGGUGCGGCGACUUCGGAGGACCAGAACCUGGGCAAGAUUGGCAAUGAUGGAGAUUGCGGUGACUUCGGAAGCCCGAAUCUGAGUGAGAUCGCCGAUGGUGGAGGCCACUGAUUUUGGAGCUGUCGAAGGCUGCACGUGCGGGAGAACUUCGGAGCCAUGAGUGGGAGGCUUGGUUGGUCGAAGCCAGGAGAGACCAGUGGCGACAGCAGGGGGGAUCAGAUCUGUCGGAUCUCACUCGCGAGCAUGCUUCCCGGCGCCACCGAACUCGGGAGCCCAGAUCUAGGAAAGACCGGUGCUGUCAAGGGCCCCUUCGGUCGGACCUGCUUCGAUUGUGCUUGGCAUUGAAGGAGGGAGGCGCAUGCGAAGACAUCGGGGCCGUCGGCGGUGACCUUAACAAUCGUGGAGGCUGCUCGUGGGUGACUUCAGCAUCAUCAGAAGCUAGAGGCAUGCACCGAAUGGAUGAGCCCUGCGAGAAAAUGAGUGGAGGAUGAUGGAGAUCAGGAUAGGAUGCAGUCGAGAUGCUCCGCUCCAACCACCAGCUCCACACCACCGCCAUCAUCGGUCCAUGGCCUCGGCAUCCCUGGCCACGUCGAAAUAGAAAAAGGCAGAGGGAUGAACUUGGCUUCAUCAUUUGGAAAGGAGGCACAUGGAAAAGUAUUAAAGUAUUCUCAUUGAAAAAUCAAAAAAAGAGAGACUGCAUUCAGAUAUGACUUGAUAUGACUUGUCGGGAUUCAGAUAUGACUUGUCGGGCGAUGUCAGAACAUAGAUAUUAAAAAGGCCAAGCCACUAUCCGGUUGCUAACCGCAGCGAACCCCUUUCCUUAUUGAUUGCCUUCAUGGUCACACAAUCGCCGAUUUUGACGUUGCGAGUAUGGUACAUCUUGGCGUCGUGGCCGAACCCACCUCGUGAUAGCCAAAUAGGAUGACCCCGGGCGAUCUUCUUCUUCUUCUUCUAUUUUAUUUUAUUUUUAAUCUGAUCGAUAUAUAGCCGAGG
rnacentral:lncRNA from 1 species